AUAGUGGAACAGAAAUGGUGGUGUCAUAUGCAACCAUGUCUAGAGGGAGAGGAAUGUAAAGUUCUUCCAGACCGGAAAGGAUGGAGCUGCUCCUCUGGGAAUAAAGUGAAAACAACUAGGGUAACCCAUUAACCAAGGAUAAAUCAAGUGAUCCUCAAGGCUGAUGACUUUGACUGUACACAUAGAAACUUAACUCCUGAGGUGAUCUUGAAAGAUUUUUAUACCACUCGGAAAGGGUUGCUUCAGAUCCAUUUCCAAGGGAUUUCAUGGUUUGUAACCAACCUCCUCUUGAAAUCAAGACUUAAAAUGUUAGACAUGAACUUCUGCAUCAUGGAGAUUUCUUCAGAAUUGAACUGUGUCCAACUUGUAAAAUUGUUAAAAGAAUUUGAAAUUGCUGUCUGCAGAGUUUGCGAAGAAUUGGUGUUUUCAGGGUGAUGCCACAGAUGGUCACCUUUUGGAUGCUUGGGUCCAGAUGUGACUGCUUUUCCCGUUUCUGAAAGUUCCUGAAUGCCCUGGCCUUCUGUCAUGGAUGUGUUCCUGGGUUCUGUGUUCAAUGGCUAGUGAGACUGCACACGGCUUUAAUGACAUUUCCUUUGUGAACUUCUCUGGCAUGGCAUAGACUGAGAUAAUUUUAUUUGUAUCCUAUUCUUGGAACUCUGAAAGCCUACACGUUUUAACAUCUUAAAGUUGCUUUUGUUAAAGGAAUGGAAAUAUAUAUCCAUUGAUAAUAAUUAUUGUUGACAAGUAAUAGUUAUCUGAGUACAUCCAUCAUUUAAGAAUGUAUAGACAAGCUGACAUAUUUUCCCAAGGCUAACAUACUACUGCAGCUGUCAAUUAAAUAGGUAGCAGUUAGUACUGGAUUACCAUUUUCAUUAUAUAAUACUUUGUACCUCUAGAUCACUCUCUAUUUCAGUUUUCUUCUCUUUCUUUCUUUCUUUCUUUUUUCUUUUUAUUUUUGUAAAUUAGCUUUUCCUUUCAUUUAAAAUUUUAUUUUUAUUUUUACUUUUCCUUCCACAGACAUCAGCAGUGAGCAGUCAAGUUCUUAGGUAGCCUUCAGUUUGGAAAAAUUGCCAGGAAUGCAUGUGCGUUUCUGAUUUCUUGGCGUGAACGUUAUUCACCUAGAUUUCUUCUAACACUUUUUUUUUUCUAAAAAUUGUUCUUUCUCAGUUUAAAAGACUGUCUCUUGCUCGAUCUCAAUGGCUGUUUGAAUGCUUAUAUAUUUGUUUGUUCAG